AAGUCAAGAAACACCUGGAUGACCUCCCGGGAGCGGGGGGCCACCAGGUUGCCUAAGGAGGGGUGAACCGGCCCAGGUCGGAAACGGAGCAGGUCAAAACUCCCGUGCUGAUCAGU
ensembl:misc_RNA Metazoa_SRP Metazoan signal recognition particle RNA